rnacentral:lncRNA from 1 species
GGGGACCCCGGCCCGCCGCCCGCCGGCCCGCGCCCACCAGGCCCGAGCGGGCAGGCCGGCUGGCGAGCAGGGGGCGGGCGGGAGACGGAACAAAAGCGCCUUUGUUGAGCGGCAGCCGCCGGAGGGUCACACACAAUGGAGGAGGGAGCCGGCUCCGCCGCCGCCGGGCCCGCCGCGGCGCCCUCCCGAGCCGCCCCGCCGGCGCCCCGCACACGUACACACACACACUCACGGGACUCCUCCGGCUCAUCGAGGGAGUGCGGGGCCCGCGGACAGCCCCCAGGGUCGGCUCAGGUCUCCGGCUGUGCUGACGGCAGCGGCGUCUCCGAGGCUCUCGCUUUGCCGCAGUCGCCGCCAUGUAACCCCGACCCGAGAGAGAGGGCGAGGGAGAUGGGGCGGGGCCUCCGGGGCCACGCCCCCGCACGUCACAGGCUCACUCCACGGGUUCCCCCGCCCCCGCCCGGCCCCGCGCGCCAGCACGCGCCGGAAUUUCCAAAGCCUGUGACUGGGCUCCGCGGGCCGCGGGGGCGGCGGAGGGCGCGCGGGCGCUGGGGCCGCCUCCGGCGGCUGGACCCGCGACCGCUCUGCUAUGCUCCCUGUCCCCGCGCUGGAGCACAGCGACCCAACUCCUUGCGAGCGUUUCCUGCGCACCUACUACGUGCAAGGCGCUGGCAGUCCAGGAGGAAUAGGCCUUCGUCCCUGUCCCCGGAAAUGGGCCUGGAACGAGAAGGCUGGAGCUGAAGAUGGAUUGGCUAGAAGGCAACAGCCGACGUACAGGGCAAACGCGUUAGAGGCCAGGUGCUAAGGAGGUUGUUAAAUCUGCCCGCGGGUAUGAAGGAAGGCUUCUAAGGGAGGUCGCCACGGGUGACCUUUCAGCUGUAUCAGAAGGAGCUGAUAUAACCGGAGGAGUACCAGGCGUGAAGAGGAGACGGAGAGCAGAUAAAACUAAGACAGAGGAGAGGCAUGUUCCAACUGCAAGGCUUCUAAUUUGUGGAUGCAGACAAAAGCAACAAGAUCUCCUUACCUGUGACCACUAUCCAUGCCUACUGCCCUGCUCUAGGCUCCCCUCAGAUUCCUAAGACACCUUUCCUCCCCCAUCCAUCAAUGUUUGAUCACCGGGUGGGGGGGGGGGAAUAAAUCACAAGCACAGGUCCAGCAGAGACCACCAAAAUAACCUGUUGAUCAAUCAAAGCCAAGUUUAUUGCUUACAGCAGUAAGAGAGACCACUAUGUUGACAGUCUCAGUAGUGUCUCAAAGAGGAAGGUCAAGGGUAGGAUAGUUAUAAGAUUCAGGGGAUCUGGUUUAAGACAGGUCUCUCAGUAAAAGAGCAUGGUUGAGACUGGGCUAAAUUUGUGAUAUAGUAGUUUAGGAUGAGUGGACACAGGGAGGGGAGAGUUUUGAAGCAAGCCUAAAAGAGUAAGCAGUUGUUCAAUAAACCCAAAAGAGUAAUCUUGUUGAGGGGGGGGCUGUUUACCCUGACGAAGGCUGGGUCAGUCAGUAGUCUGUUGUUCAGAUAAGUGGACUUUGAAGAAGUUCUUGAAGCUGCACUUAAGUUAUUUGCAACUUCUCUGGCAAGAAUUUCUUGGAAUUAAAGUCAUGUUUAUGCAGCCAGUGGAGUUGUACAGUCAUGUUAUUGUAGUCAGUCUUAGUUCUUAAUCCUAUUGUGUGGCCGAAAAUAGGUCUCAGUAGUUUUUCAAACUGCAGGUUAUGAUCCAUUAGUGAGUAGUGAGAUCAUAUUGAUGGAUUAUGACCUGCAUUUUUUCUUAAUGAAAUAGAACAAAAAACUAGAGAACAUCGUCCAUAACAAAGAGUAAACACUGUUUUGUGAAACUUUUGUUUUGAUUACGGGCCACAUUUCAACAAAUCUAAAAUGUCAGUUAUGACUUGCCGUUAUUUUGUGUACUAUUAAGAAAGCGAAAACUAUCAAAAUAUGAUACCCUAUCGCUGCAUCCUGAUUUCAGAUUAAAAUGGAGGAAGUGCUUUUUCAAACUGAUGAAAUGUAAGAUAUGUAUAAAUGUGCCAAUUGGAUCACAAUGUAAAAGUAUUUCUAUUUAUUGCUCAUUGCUAUGAGCUAUGCUAUUGGUAGAAGAGUUGGAAAGCCACUGUUGUAGUGGAGGAAUGCAGGAGAGGAACAGGUAAGUACACCAUAAGGCAGCAUGAGAUGAGUGCUUCCUGAGCAGAGAUGCAAAUUACCUGCUCUUGUUAGACUAUGAUGGAAGAAACAAUUGAGGUCUGGGGACAUCGGGUAAAGGUUCAAAUGAAAGAGAGAGUGUCUGAGCUGGGCUUGAUUCCAUCAGAAGUACACAGCCAUUUCUGGAUGAGAGAGUAGAAUAUACAAAGGCAUGAAUGUGUCAGGCACACUUUGGAAAACGGGAGAAGUUUGACAGGCCUGGGGGAAUGAAGACAAGUUAGCACCAGAUUGAGAAGGCCUUGAUUGGAUGCCAAAACUUUUGGGUUUGUGCCAAAGGCAGAGGAAUUUAGAUUAUACAACUAGUAUUUUAGAACGGUAGUUCAGGCAUGGAUAGGAAGGAGAGGUUAGAUGAGCAAGAAGUUGGAGACAGAGGGUAGGAGAAUCCAUUGUUUUGUCUGCCCUGCAUCCAAUCUACCUUAUUCUGGUAACAAUAUUCUGAGGUCCUUUAAGGAGCCACCCUUUCCUGUGUAAGUCAGAAUUCUUUCUGUCCCAGUGACGGAAAACCCAACCCAAACUCUGGGUUAAGCAUAAGAGAAAGAGAGAUUGAGAGAGAGAGUGUGUCUCUGGUAGGCACAGAAAGGGGAUGACAGCAUGAGCAGUAUUUGUGGAGCAGAAUCAGCUAGACUUGGUGAAUGCUUAGACAAGCGAGGGGUAAGUCUUCAGUCACCCAGUUGCUCCCUCAUUGCCUAUUUGAGUUUAAAUUCUCUCAUUAGGCUACUGGUUUUUUUACAAUUCGGUUACUAUCUUCUUAUGAAGAUAAACUGCCAAUAUUGUGACUUUCAAGAUGGAGGGGAAAACAGAUUUUAGAAAUAUAGACCACUAAGCUUGAUGCCACUCCCUGGAAAUUUUCUAAUAUAAAUCACUGAAAACCGUGUGUUAGGGAAAAUCUAACAGUUAAUAGGAAUCAUUAUGGAUUCUUUUCAAGUAAGUCAUUACAAAGAAAUAUCACUUCCUUUCUUGAUAGAAUUAUUACAUUGCUGAACAAAGAUGUUGGUCAUUUCAAAAGUCAAGACACUUUUGUGGAUAAGAUGGAGAGAUGUGAGUUUAGGUUAUUGCAAAGAAAGGUUGGUUAAUGGAGUGACAUCUUGAGGUCUAGAAUUCUUAAGAAAAGCAGUACAGAUUUUUCCCCUUUUGUCCAGUCCUGAGUAAUAUUUUUAUCAAUGUUUUGAGUUGAUACUUACCAAAUUUAAAGAAGAUGCAGAACUCGCAGAGAUCAGAAUAUGAUAGAUGACAAUAAUUAUUCAAAAUCAUGUUUGUUUAAAAAGAGAUGACUUUUGGCUGCAAUAAAUAUAAAAUAUAGUGUCAUUGUUCAGAAAAAUCAUUUUCAUGACAAGGAUUUGGGCGACUUGGCUUGACCUGAUAAUGUAAUGGUAAGUUACAGAUAUUCAUGCAGUGUGAGCAGCCACCAAAAAACUAGGAAAAUGUAAACUGUGUUAAUGAAGUCAGGCCACCAGGGAGGUGAUAACAACCAAGGUGCUGAAUGUGCUGAAGUCACAGGGGUACCAGACCUGUGCUAUUCAGCUCAAGAUUUCUGAACUUAUGUGUUCAAAUAUAGAUACCACAUAAAAAGAGCUACCACACAUAACAGAAUUUGUUCGGAAGAGAACCAGGAAGAGUGUGGAAACCAUGCUCUCUGAAGAAAAGAUGAGGGAAUCGGGUCUGCUUAACCUGCAUAAAAGAGAUUUGCCAAAGGUUGUUAUGGAGAGGAGAGAGCAGACUUAUCCCAUGUUGCUCUGGAGUUCAGAUCUAAGGCCAUUGGAAGGGCUGUUAUCGAGAGGCGGGUUUUGGCUCAUCAUAAGAAAGGACAGUUUUGGAUAUUGGAACUGAGCCAUAGUGGACAGGACUUCCUGGUGAAGUGAGCUCUACAUCACUGGAGGCAUUCAAUCAGAAAACAAUGGGCACCUGUCAGGGAUACUAUCAAAGGAAUUGCUGGGGGGAAAAGAGGCCACCAGGGAGGUGAUAACAACCCAGGUCUUCUCUAACUUGAAGCUUCUAUGUGUCUGUGUUUAUCCUCUUAAUUUAAAAUGAUUGCUCUCCCAGACAUGGUUCUAAAAGAACACAUUGUAAUUUGAUUUGUAAACAAUACAACUUUCCACUGAAGAAACUCAUUCCCAAGUACAGCUGAUUCUCAUUGCUUGUGGUAAUGUUCUAAAAAGUAACUAUGAACUCCAAAGUAGUGGAGGCCGAACCAUCACUCCUAGGGAAAUACAGGAUUUGGUUCCUGCAAGUCAGAGCAUUUUUGCCAACGAGUCAAUACUUAACCUCGUUUUAUGUGUGCUUCUGUUUCUAUUUAAAGACCUUAUUUAAUAUAUAUUGUUGAUUCAUUAACCAUCAAACUAUGGCCAACAGCAUUAUAAUUCAUGCUGAAUGAAUCUUAUCUAACGUACAUAUUUUUUCCGAAAGAUAUAUCACAGCUUUCUUGUGCUCAGGGACGGUAGCCCGCACAUCAGUUCUAUGCUUGGGGGGCCUUUUAAACAGUGAAAUCACCAACAAAAAAGCAAAAAAACAUGGCACUAAAUAGACCAGGAAAAGGUCACUUGUUCAUAGUACGAGAGUUGAAACAAGAAGGCAAAGUAUUGCCUUGUUCCUUGUCAAUGGGAACACGCACAUAGGGCAACUCAAAUUUUCACCACUCUGCACAUGUUGACAAAUGACUGUGCAAGUGCCAUGAGUAUUGAUUUAGGGGUUACAGAUACAUUUUAGCAAGUAGGCAAAUUCGCAAACAGAAUCUGCAAAUAAUGAGAAUUGAGUAUAGUUAAAGAUUAUAAAGAGGAUGUUUUCAGUCAAAAACCAUCGAAGCUGUAUGAAAAUUCGAUGAGAUGCAGAUCACUUGAACGCUUUUUGAAGUGGGAGAUGCCUGUAAAUGAGAAUCAAGGAUCCCGCAUUUAACUUGGUGGGGCAACAAAGAGCUUGCCCGUUGGGAGUAUGGUAAUAGCAUCAUUUGUCAAGUUCCUACCAAGUAGGGCUGUUUUAGGUAAACACUUUAUAAACAUUGUAUCCUUCUCUUAGGCUAUGAUACAUGGGAUUUUGUGGAAAAGCUGCAACAAGCUACUUAAAUGUUUUAGACAACAUUUGGCUUUCUUUGUAAUGAAAUUGCUUUCUGGAACAAAAAUCUGUACAGUUUUUGAAUAAUGGGUGUGUAACUAAACACUUAAAUGUACUGAGAAAUACCUAUGGGGAUAACUUUAUAAACCCAAUAAUUAAAUAAUCAAAGUACCCUCUCUCUAAUUUAUCUGCCUUGAAAGUCAGUAUUUUCUGGAAGCAGGAUAAAUUAGUAGAAAUGGUAGAAUUAAACUAUUAAUACAAAGUUGUAGCUUCCCUCCCCCCCACACACUUGUUCAGAGGAGCACAGAGAUAGUGACGCUCUCUGGCUUUAGGGAAAUUCCAAGGGUUUUCUCAUUUGCAUUCUGUCCUUCUCUCUCGAGGGCCCCGUUAGCCUGAGGAGAACAGAUGCUCCUAAUUUCUGGAGAUAGUUCCUAUUUUUUUAAAUCUCACGAGAGCACAGUCUUCUAUAACCAUCCUCAGUUUUUGAGAACAACCUGGGUCUCUUGCCACAUGACCACAGUAAAUAAAAGGAAAGAAUGGACAUGUUGUCCCUCGUCCCAUCUACAGGGAGUGAUAAAUAUUUUGAAUUGUGGGGGCAAAGUAGCUUUCACUAUACAAGGUCAUUCCCCUCCCCUCUGCUCUCCAAUAGUCAAGCUCACUAUCCUUUGAGAAAGAAGGUAACCACUGUUGUUACUCUAAGUAAACUUGUGCUGAAGAUUUGUUUACAUUGGUUUCUGAGUGAUCAGGUUAUCAACUAGUAUAUAAUAUGAUUUAGUAGGUCUGCCUCCCACAAUCCCAACUCUUGCCUUCUGUUUGACAAAUAUUUUGCCAGCUGGUAGUUACCACCAUUGGAACACCCUUCCCUGAAGAUGUCACCAUCCCCAGAGGCUGGUAUCCACCUCUGGAGCCUUGACUGCAGCUAUCACUGUCUCUAGCAAUGACCUAGUUUUGGUGCCCUGCAGGGAAAAUGGCCAGGCCCUCAGGAGGCCUAAGAUCCAUCUACCCACCUUGGGAAGCUCUGUCCUUGUGACUGCCCACCCCACUGCCACAGACCUCUAGCCCCUCUCACCCACCCCCAUACCCAGGGCAUUACACAGGACCCCAGAUUCAGAAACACCCCAUGCUUGGUUUAAUACUCUACUGUUGCCAUCUUGAAGUUCCUGAUAAUUUUAUCUUUGAACUCAUGUUUAGUGGUGCUGUUGGACAGUGGAGCAUGCGUAUGAGCAGGAGAUAGGCACAAUAGUCACGUCCACUGUUCCUUACCACCCCAUUUACAUACAGGGUUCUCAGUGCCCAAUGAGCACAGAAUUCUGGUGGACCCACAAUGUGCUGCAGUUCAGUGAAAUAAAGCAAAUAAGUACAAGGUAUGUUAUGUCUACAACUGAGUAAUUGGAGGUGCUGACAGCUCUGAGAGGUCUUGCUUUCCAUUGGAACCAGAUUUUGCUUCGAAUGCAAAAAGAGGGCAAUGGCAUUCUAAGAAACACAAAAGACCAAGGAACUCUGUCAGAUCCUUUCUUUCUUGUAUUACUUCCCUGUAUUAGCCAACCGCCUAUGCUGAAAACAUUUUCUUUCUUUCUUUUUUUAAGAUUUUAUUUUUCCUUUUUCUCCCCAAAGUCCCCUGGUACAUAGUUGUUUAUUUCUAGUUGUGGGUCCUUCUAGUUGUGGCAUGUGGGAUGCUGCCUCACCGUGUCCUGACGAGCGGUGCCAUGUCUGUGCCCAGGAUUACGAACCAGCGAAACCCUGGGCCUCCGAAGCAGAGGGCAUGAACUUAACCACUCAGCCACAGGGCCGGCCCCAAACAUUUUCUUUUCCUUUCCAUCUUUUUACUCCUCAGCAAGUCAAGGGUAGAAAGUGUUGGUAGAAUGUGUAUCAAGAAAUGAAAUAAUAAUGGCUAAGUUAAUUUUCUGCUGUGUUUCCACUGCUCUGGUAAGAAAAUAUAUAUGCAUGUCUGAGCUACAAACUAGAAAUUGUCAUUUUGGUCAUUUCACAUAGGAGUUUAAUGCUCUUAUAUUUGUGUUCCAAAUUGGCAUUGCACCAUAUAAAAAUUACUUAUAAACUUCAUGCUAACGACUUAAAUUUUUUAUUUUUCCUUACUUAGAACUAUUGGUUAUAAUAGUUAUCUAAAUUAAAAACACCAUGACAAGGGGCCGGCCUUGUGGCUGAGUGGUUAAGUUCAUGUGCUCUGCUUUGGCGGCCCAGGCUUUCGCCAGUUUGAAUCCUGAGCAUGGACAUGGCACUGCUCGUCAGGUCAUGUUGAGGCGGUGUCCCACAUGCGGCAACUAGAAGGACCCACAACUGAAAAUACACAACUAUGUACCAGUGGGCUUUGAGGAGAAAAAGGAAAAAGAAAAUCUUUAAAAAGAAAAAAAAAGAAUUAGUGUUUAAUAAUAAUAAUAAUAAACACCAUGAGAAGUCAAGAGAGAGACGCCAGAAGAAAGGAAAAAAGCUUUAUAUUUUAGUACCUUAGCAGCAUUUUUUCUACUUUUUGAACAAAGGGCCCCAGAAAUUAUGUAGCCAGCUUUGAACUUCCCCCAACGAAGUCCCAACAGCCCUACUCUGAAGAAAGUGGGUCAGGGAAAGACUCCCAACCUCCCCGCCUCCACUACCAGAGCUAGGACAGGAGAGGCGAAGAAUUCUCUUUCCUCAAGGAUAAAGCGUCCAAGGCUGAGCAGGGCCCAGCCGCCCACGUGCAGGAACUGCAUUUCCCGUAGUAAACACACUGGCUUCCACACUCAUGGAGGUAGGAAGCGGGGGAGGAAGGAAGAUCUUGUUCCCCUGCUGGGGCACAUUUGCCCAUAGAAAGAAUGUGUGGGUCACGGUUCUCAUCCUCUCCUAGUCAGCUGCAUGUGGGCUAAAUGGGUUUCUGAGAGUUGGCCUGAGAACGUAACCAGUAUUUGUCACAUUGUUUCUCUGGGGAAAAUGCAUUUUCAGUUUCAAACAACCAAGUUAGAAAUCAAGUUUGGGGAACAUAACUCGGUCAUACAGGGACUUUCUGUACCUUUCCUGUACUUUCUGUACCUUCUCAGAAAUGCUGAGACCACAGAGAAGGAUGGUAUCUGUAAGUCCCAGAUAAACAACUAAACGUUAAUGAGAGGGGUGUUAAUACUAAUAACCUCCCUUUAUCCACUGGGUGGUAUGAAGAGUCCAGUCCUUCAGAUUUGCAACUUGAAGAACUUGAUUGCUGGUUCUCCAGGGAUGACUGGUCUCUGGCAACCAGCAUGCACCACCCAAACCCAAGAGUCUGCACCUUCAACCAGAUGCCAGUCCAUGAAGAACACCAGACAAGCUGUGCUGAGUUGGACUAAAGAUUCAUCCAGUCUGAUCCAUCUGCUGGGUGUUUUCUACUCUGGAGAGCUUAAGGACAUCUCAGCCCAGUGACUUUUCUUCUAUGAGCCUGCUUUCAGACAGUCCGUAAAAGUUUUAAAGAAGACAAGUCCCCCAGAGGUAAUCCUUGAGGGCUCCACUCUGAAACAGGAAGACUCCAUCUGGUAUCCUGGCACCAACAGUAGUCAGUAGACUGGGUACUGGCCCCAGUUCUGACACAGUAGUUGUUAGAUUCCAGGCAAGUCAUUUAAUUUCCAUUCCUAAAAUGGUAAAAAUACCACCUGCCUCACCUCCCUUGCAGGGUUAUUCCAAGAAUUACAUGAGAUGAUGUGUGUGAAAGCACUCUGAAAAGGCUAAGCGACUGUAUAAAUAAAGGGUGUUAUUAAUAUUUCCAUCCAAAGCUCACCUGUUUAAACCAUGGUUUCCUGAAGUUAAGCCAGCUCUCUUCUUUCAUUCAAUUCAUUCCUUUGAUGUUCUUUAAGUGCCUACUUUAUCCAAGAUAGAACUUUCUCGAUAAUUUAUUUGGGUAGAGCUUUUUUUUUCAAUGUUUAAUGUGUACAUUGGUAGGAACUUUUUAAAAAGUGUAGCGUUCACUGUAUCUGUGCUUAUUUAUCCCUCAAAGAAACGUAGUCAAAUAGUGAAGCAUGAGACAUGCUCAAGCAUGUGGCUGCAAAGGUAGAAGAGCAGAACGCAAUCUCUGCCUGCAUCUCCCCACAGAAAGCAGGAAUGCCUUCUACCCUUAGCCUAGGAGAGAUAGAAGGGAAAGCCCAGAGCAGGGCCCAGCUGAGAGGAUGGCGAGAAGGGGAUGAGGAGUAACUAUAUACAACCUCUCGGAGCCCAACAAGCAGUAUUAUAAUAAAUAGAUUUACUUACAUGAAAGCAGCUUAAGGCAAUCUCCUUUGAUUUAGCCUGUGGUCCAUUCAGCAAAGAAAAACUUCUUCUGUGUUUAAAAGCCUCUGAUGAAGGUUUAUAAGUACUAUCUCCGAAGGAAAAAUAGAAAGCAAAUGAUUCUUGGGGAAGAGGGAAAAAGACAAAUUUUUAAAAUGAUUUAGCUGUGCAGCAGGUUAUGAAGGAGGGAAAAGGAAGAGAUGAAAAUGGUUCUUUCCCUCCUCCUUCUGUGACUCAGAGAUUAAUCCUAAAAAUAAUCUUCAUCCCAGUAUGGGGAAGCUGAGCGGAGACUCGCAUCGCCACAUUCUGAGUUCCAUGAUGGCCUUGGAGAGGAAAAGAACAAAAGGAGGAGGGAGAUAGGACACAGUAACUAUUAAAGAUAAUCUAUAAAAGACUACCUACUCAGAAGAGGUGAGGUGAAAUUAAAGGCCAGUCUAACUGAUGAAAUAGGCAUUUCUGUUCUUGCCCUGUUCUGAAGUAUGUUGUGUCAGCAAGGAUGAAGCCUCAACUUGCCUUGUCACUAAUUCUUCUGGUGAUCCAUAUUUUACUCAUUCAAAUGAAUUUUUGUCUCUCAACAUCAUUCUUCUUUCCUUGUGUCAGCAACAAGAGGCUCUUUUUUAGGUGUCUCCUUAGUCACAUUUAAUUUAUGUAAGUAUGUUUAUUUUUUUUUUAAGUUUUCUAUUUUGAAAGUAUUUCAAACUUACAGAAAAGUUGCACACAUAGCACAACGAACUUUUUUUUCACCUGAG